CGCCGUUUAGCUUAGCCAUGCAGAGGCAUUGAUAAGCAGCACCCGUAAGACCAUUUUUCACUUCACCGCCAUUGACACCAUCGCUCUCUCCUUCCCCACUAGAAAUCAAAACUUCAUUUUAAUUUCUCCUCCACUAUUUAUUCAUACCCUCAAGAUAAUCAACCCCAAAACACAGUCGAAAUCAAUAAAAAAUUAGGAUCAAGAGUUGUGCAGAUAAAUGGAUUUCCCUGGUGCUCUCUGAUGAAAAGAGUCAUUUGACAAAAUUUAGGUGGCUUGGUUUUGCUUCAAGCUUGAAAUUGACGAAAUUUGAGGUGGCAAAGCUCAAAAUUGUUCUUUGAAGCUUAAUCAUUGUUCCUCAAUUAUGUAUAUUUUUCAAUACAUGAUUCAAUUUCUCAAAUUUAAUUUUAUUUACUCUAUCAAUUUAACCCUUAAAAGUAACAAUGAAAGAUAAAAAUAUUAAUAAUGAUAAAAACUCAGUACGAAAGCUUUACG
rnacentral:misc_RNA from 1 species